UUCCUACUCAUUUCAUUCAUUUCCACUAAACGCUGCAACCUCUUUAUAGUGUGAAACAUGGCCUUGACUUGGACAUUCUUCUUGUUCCAUAUGUAUCGGUAUAGCUUCACCUAGUCACCUACGGUUGUGAUUUUGUUUGUUUUUGUGGCCACAGACUCUGAUGGAGCAUCUUUUGCAUCACCUCUCAUAACUCCAGUAGCUUUGGCAGUUCCAAUGGGUUUUCACUCCUCUGGUCACAUAUUUGCUCUUGAAAUUAUUUUCUCAUUCUUGCAAGACUGAGCUCAAUUACACCAGGACCAGUAAUGCCCGAGUCAGAUCUUCAUCCUUGAUAAAUAUCAUCUUCGCAAGAGCUCUAUUCACGUCCUUUCUGGCAAACAAUGCAUGUGGCAUACCAGGUUCAUAAAACAUUCUCCAUCUCAGGUAGUAGAAUGCAUCUAUUUAUAUUAUAAAGCCUGAAGGCUAAUACACUACCUGAUUACUAAAAGGCCUCCAAAAAAACCACGUAUUUACAAGAGAAUGCAACUCCUCACAUACGGUUUGCUGCUCCAAGCCUCACACAUGUGUUGAAAUACAGAAUAAAAAUAUGUGAAAGAUUGUGUAUUGGGCUACUUUACCAACACUGAACUGAUCCACCAUUCAUUUCAGAAACGUGUCGCCGGAUUAAGCAACUCUUACACCUACAGUACUAAACCUAAUAUCUUUUCAAAUCGGUGAUGAAACAAUUUGGUUCAAAAUUCAAAUCGACGCCUCUCACAAAAUUUUGUAAGCGAUGGAUCAAACAAUGGAGCUUCGAAAAGACUAUGGUGAUUUAGGUAUUCAACCACCAAACAGCCACAAUGUCUUUAGACACGAUUUAUCCAUGAUGAAGGGGAACAGAAAACCCAGGCUUCCAUAUACUUUUGAAGAUUUGAUACACGAGGAAGACGAGCGUGGAUGAAGAUUGGGUUUCAAAGGAUGUGAUACGUGUUCAAAUUCAUCGACAAUGAAGCGCGUGAUGAGGAUCGGGUUUCAAAAGAUGUGAUAAUUUCAGAGACAUUAAAGUCAAAGUGUCGAAAGCAGAAUAACAAAGAGACGGGAAGAUUGUGAUGCUUGCAAGGAAACAAAGGAGAGACCGGGAUGGUGUAAAGAUCCUCAUUUACCACCCUGCACAGCGUUCAUGGAAAUCAUGGCCCCUGUAUUUUUAAAAAGGCAUGGUAAUGUGUGUGGCAUAUGAUUCAGACAUCCUAUGACUCCAGAUCUUGAAUUAGAAUACUCCGAUGAUGAGAUUUGCGCGACUACAGGGCAGCCUAAAAAGGCCAUGAAUGUAAUUGGUAUAAUUUUCUAAUGUAUUGAAUCUGCAGGGGACGAUGACAGUGACCAGAGCAACAGGAUAUUCACCAGCAUGUCUGAAUUUGUGUAUGGGAAGCAGGUUAGUUGCUUACAUAAGCAUCAGAAAAUAUACAUGCUGAACAAUAGGUUUCAGCUAUUGCUUUCUUUGGUAUUUGAGUUUGCGCCUAAUGGGACCCUAUUUCAGCAUUUGCACAAUAAGUAUUCAAUUAUCUACAUUCUUUGGUAUCCUGUUGUAUCAGGCUAUCAGCAGCAAACUGGCAAUGGUAUGUUUUUUUUUUUUACUCUACUAUUGCAAUUCAGUAGUUUCCACAUAUAAACUAAAAUUAAGUGUAUUUGAAAUAUUUUCUAUGCUCGGUUGUAUGCCUGAUGACCAUAAGGCAAAAGCAUCAUUGUCUCUCAAGGCAUUUAUGAGAUUACUCCUAUAAACAAACGACUGUGUCCUUGUGGAUAGCUGAUAUAUUUUCACGUCAGAUUUUCUAUUUAAUCACAAUAUGCUAAUAUGUUAUCCCUUUGCUGUAGUUCAAGAGUUGUAGCUGUUUUAGUUCUUCAAUUCCAAUGAUUUUUGAUGAAGAAAAUGAAAAUCUUAAUUAUUUAUAUUGUUAUUUUGGCAUAGGAUGCUCAGCUGACUCCUUUAUUGCGCCUUGGAGCUGGAGCUUGUGCUGGAAUAAUUGCAAUGUCUGCCACUUAUCCUUUGGACAUGAUGUCACUUAUCAAACCUUCUGCUUCUUCUUGGAAGCUCCCAGAGGUUGAAACAUGCUAUUUGGUAAAAUUUUCAGGUCUGCAACUUUACUCUCCCCAGGUUGAAUCACUCAAAGAAAAAGUAUUCAAGAAGAAGUUUGAGCUGCGAAAUGUAAAGAGCUCAGUUGAUCCCGAACCAGUAAAUAUGCCAUCAUGAAGUCCAGUUUUUCAGGAUAUAAUUUUAAUAGAUGAUCCCUUUUAUUGUGAACUUAUAUGUGUGAUAUUUGGUGGUAUAUUGUUGUUUUUAAAACAGAUA